rfam:Novosphingobium sp. PP1Y main chromosome, complete replicon
UCUGCGGGCCGGGCCCCUCUGGCGCGGCGCAAGCUUGUGUGGAACGCAAAAGUUUCCACCGGGCAGGCGCCACGUGAUGUCGGACCGCAUCG